CAUUUAGGUUUGCAAUUAAAUGGUCAAAGUUUGUUUUUUUGGAAGCACAAUAUAUGUGUUUUAUCAACAAAGUCAGAAAAGGAAGGGCCUGCCUCUUUUAAGCUGUCCCAGUGUAUUGGAAUAGGUUUUUAGAGAUCCUGAAGGCUACAGAGCCCACUUUUCUCUCUUCUCUGGGACUGUAGUAGGUUGCUGCUACUUUGCCAUUCUCUUUUCUCUAAAAGUAUACUAGCUUUCACAUAAAGCAUAUUUGUAGUAUUUUUCAACAUAAAAUUUUGGAAAACAUUGUGCAGAGAUUUGAGUCUGUGGACUUUAAUAGAGUGAACUACUUUUUAAUGUCUGUUUUCUGGCAUUUCAGAAAUGUCAGGAUAUCAUUUGCUUCUGAUGCUCUCUUUUUCUGCCUCCCUUCCUCCUCCUCCAUUAACUCAAUACCUCUGAAGAAUUUUUUCAUAUGUUCAUACAUAAAACUUCAAAUCUGUGUUCUAUGUUAUUUAAG
rnacentral:lncRNA from 1 species